AUUGAACGCUGGCGGCAGGCUUAACACAUGCAAGUCGAGCGGGGUGAUGGUGCUUGCACUAUCACUUAGCGGCGGACGGGUGAGUAAUGCUUAGGAAUCUGCCUAUUAGUGGGGGACAACAUCUCGAAAGGGAUGCUAAUACCGCAUACGUCCUACGGGAGAAAGCAGGGGAUCACUUGUGACCUUGCGCUAAUAGAUGAGCCUAAGUCGGAUUAGCUAGUUGGUGGGGUAAAGGCCUACCAAGGCGACGAUCUGUAGCGGUUCUGAGAGGAUGAUCCGCCACACUGGGACUGAGACACGGCCCAGACUCCUACGGGAGGCAGCAGUGGGGAAUAUUGGACAAUGGGGGGAACCCUGAUCCAGCCAUGCCGCGUGUGUGAAGAAGGCCUUAUGGUUGUAAAGCACUUUAAGCGAGGAGGAGGCUUACCUAGUUAAUACCUGGGAUAAGUGGACGUUACUCGCAGAAUAAGCACCGGCUAACUCUGUGCCAGCAGCCGCCGUAA
rnacentral:rRNA from 1 species